CCCCCUGCGGCUCCCCUUCCAUCCUUCUCCUCAGAGUUCCUGGAUCCCGCCCCUUUUCCUUUCUCUCCCGCCCUUCUUCUCUCGCUGCUUCCAUGUUGGAAGUCCCCGCCCAUAGCGACGAAAGGAAAACAGCAUCACAACACUCCAGCCCGAGGAGAGCUCAAUAAAGAGACAUUUUCUCUCUCAACCAGUCUGGACAGGUGAGAAAUCGGAAAAGGACUGGAGCCUGUGCUUCCCACCGACACAAAGCAGAGUUGUUAGCACAGGCUUCCUUGUUGGUACACAAACUCCAUCAAGAUUACUUAACUCCCUACUGCCUGAUGUCAGAGUCCUAUGACGGCCUCUACAAAGUCUGCUUUCUGCUUAUUGCUAUAACAAAAAGGAUAUUUCUUCCAGCCCAAGUCAGGCUUGACCCACAGGCUCCUCAGAGACACCGGACUACCUUCCCGCAACUCUGCCAGUUUGAAAUAAUAGAUUGGGGUGGAGCCUGGAGGGAGGAAACCAUCUGUGCCUUCUGCCUGAUCCUGCAAUGAAAUCAUAAACCACGUUUGAGAUACUACACCCACUAUUUCCAAGGGAACAGAUGAUGAAGACAUAAAUAACACAGGGCCAGUAGGUCACUGGAGCCUGAAGUCUGUGAUGGGAAGAAACCUCUCCCAAUAUGUAAUCAACUAUUGCAGCAAUCAAGUGAUAUCCUGAAAUUUAUUAUGCUGGCUUUGGCAGGUGGGUUCACACAAUCAUGAUCUGUGCAGAUUAGGGUAUAGGAUUAGGACCUAGAACAUUUUAAAGGUGCUGUUAAAAGGGAUGUAGUACAUGAACAAUAAUAAAAGUUUUGACUUCAUUA